GGUCAUGCUAUUGGGAUUCGACUAAGCCAUGCGAGUCGAGAGGGUUCGGCCCUCGGCUGACGGCUCAGUAACACGUGGAUAAUCUGCCCUUAGGUGGAGGAUAAUCUCGGGAAACUGAGAAUAAUACUCCAUAGAUCUAGGAUGCUGGAAUGCACAUUAGAUUGAAAGCCCCGGCGCCUAAGGAUGAGUCUGCGGACUAUCAGGUAGUAGUCAGGGUAAAGACCUGACUAGCCUACGACGGAUACGGGUUGUGAGAGCAAUAACCCGGAGACGAUAUCUGAGACACGGUAUCGGGCCCUACGGGGCGCAGCAGGCGCGAAAACUUCACACUGUGCGAAAGCACGAUGAGGGAAUCCCAAGUGCCAACUCGUAAGAGUUGGCUGUUUCUCUGUCUAAAAAUAGAGAGAGUAAGAGCUGGGUAAGACGGGUGCCAGCCGCCGCGGUAAUACCUGCAGCUCAAGUGGUGGCCACUAUUAUUGGGCCUAAAACAUCCGUAGCCGGUUUAAUAAAUGUCGGGGUAAAUCGUGUAGCUUAACUAUACGAAUUCCGGGUAGACUGUUAGACUUGAGACCGGGAGAAGCUAGAGGUACUCCUGGGGUAGAGGUGAAAUUCUGUAAUCCUAGGGGGACCACCAGUGGCGAAGGCGUCUAGCUAGAACGGGUCUGACGGUGAGGGGCGAAGCCCCGGGGCGCAAACCGGAUUAGAUACCCGGGUAGUCCAGGGUGUAAACGCUGCUUGCUUGAUGUUAGUUGAGCUCCGAGCCCAAUUAGUGUCGGAGAGAAGUUGUUAAGCAAGCUGCCUGGGAAGUACGGCCGCAAGACUGAAACUUAAAGGAUUGGGCGGGGGGGCACAGCAACGGGUGGAGCGUGUGGUUU
rnacentral:rRNA from 1 species